AAGUCGUAACAAGAUCUCCGUAGGUGAACCUGCGGAGGGAUCAUUACAAGAACGCCCGGGCUUCGGCCUGGUUAUUCAUAACCCUUUGUUGUCCGACUCUGUUGCCUCCGGGGCGACCCUGCCUUCGGGCGGGGGCUCCGGGCGGACACUUCAAACUCUUGCGUAACUUUGCAGUCUGAGUAAACUUAAUUAAUAAAUUAAAACUUUUAACAACGGAUCUCUUGGUUCUGGCAUCGAUGAAGAACGCAGCGAAAUGCGAUAAGUAAUGUGAAUUGCAGAAUUCAGUGAAUCAUCGAAUCUUUGAACGCACAUUGCGCCCCCUGGUAUUCCGGGGGGCAUGCCUGUUCGAGCGUCAUUUCACCACUCAAGCCUCGCUUGGUAUUGGGCAACGCGGUCCGCCGCGUGCCUCAAAUCGUCCGGCUGGGUCUUCUGUCCCCUAAGCGUUGUGGAAACUAUUCGCUAAAGGGUGUUCGGGAGGCUACGCCGUAAAACAACCCCAUUUCUAAGGUUGACCUCGGAUCAGGUAGGGAUACCCGCUGAACUUAA
rnacentral:rRNA from 1 species